rnacentral:lncRNA from 12 species
AUGUACAAUCUAAAUAUUAGUCAUUUUAGGCAAGAUUUUUUUUUUCUAGGUUUCCUAAAUGCUGGUCACAAAAAAAGACUGAUACCCAAGACAUACUUGAUGGAAGUAGAUUUUGAAGGCUAUGAUUUGACCACUUGCAUGAAUAUCUACAUGACAAUGCAUUAUAUGAUGGGUGCUACCCAAAGGUUCCAGCAUGGAUCCAAGUAUGGUGCCAAAAAUAUUGUAGCUUAAGAUCAUAAUCAGAGAUUAUCAUGAUGAUUGCAGGUAUGCUUGCUGUUACAUAGUUUACAGAAUAUUUUCUUAAAUGCUAGCUUCCUUAAGUUUUAUAACAGUCCUGUGAGACAAACAGAGCAGUAAUAACUUCCAUAAUUGAAUGCAGAGAAGGGGCUAAUUUCCUCUACUAUCCUUCUUGGGUUACCAGAAGUCAGAUUUGCUACAGCUGUCUAUUUAUGUCACAUUUUUCAUUAUUAGUGAUUUCUGAGUAAACAUUGUUUGCUAUUUAACAAGAAUCUACAAACAUGUGUUAUUUGUGUCUGAGAAACAUUCAAGGGGCUUCACUUGGAGUGAAGUAGGAUGUCAAAGGAAGGCUACCAGGCCAAAACAGAGCAGAGAGGAAGGUUGAAGGGUUGGAGAUGGGAUUAUGUUAAAGCUGUGGGGUUGUGAAUAAAAGAAGAAUAUGGGAUCCCUGGGUGGCUCA